CUUAAUUACUAGUAGGAAAAGUUGCAGUAGAACACUGGUUAAAUAUUGGACAUUAAGCUGCAGUAAAAAGCUUUUUCUAUUUGGAUUUUUAUUUCUUUUCACUUUCUUAACCAAAAACUGUUUACUAUUAGUAGUAGAAAUCGGCAAAUGCUUGGUAUCCAAUACCUAAAAUCAACUCUUGUUUACAUAUAUAUUUAUUCUUUUUGUCUCUCUCUACAACAAAAAUAUAUUACAAAAGUAGUCAUAGUACUCCGUUCUCAUUAGCUUAGUUAACUCUUAUGAUACGACUCAUACGAGUAUUAAAUGAUUCCAAGUUCAAAUCCGAUACCAUUUGAUUAAUAUCUAGUGACUAAUUUGGUUUUAGUAGUUUUAUUUGUUUAUGUCAUUAUGUGUUUGGCUAGGGAGCUUUCUAUUUAAGGGAAUAAUAGAUCAUAGAACAAUACUAACUAUAACAAUUUAUAGUAGAUGUCACUUAACUUAGUUGAUUAUAGUUUUUCAUAUGUUACCCAAAAUCUAAAAUCAAACCUCGUAACCAUAGUGCCUCAUUUGUUAACUCUUAUGAUGGAAAUUAAGUCCAACUUCGAAUCCUUAUUGGUUCGUUGGACCUACUGUAAGACUAUCUCUGAAUCGUUCUAAUUUUAUCAGAUGUCUCCGAAGAGACACUAUAUAUAGGACUAAUCUAGUUUAGGAGUAGUUUUCUCUGAAUCGUUCUGAUUUUAUCAGAUGUCUCCGAAGAAACACUAUAGGACUAAUCUAGUUUCAGAGUAGUUUUGUUUCUUCUUCAUAUAUCUAGCUAGCAGCUUUCCAUUUGAAGUGGGAAAAAUCACAAAAGAAUACAACUCCUUAUGUGUCACAGUAACAACCAAUCAAUUUUAUAAACAUGAACUAUAUGUCUAUAUACGUCAAAUUGCCCAUAACUUCCACUAUUUUACAAAAGACACUCCCAAUUUGUCCACUAAAAACUCUUAGAAGCACAGCAACAUUAUUUCAAUUGGCCCCCAAAUAAUUUAUUUUGAACCAACCCAUCAAUUUUAACCAUUUUUAGCUCAAAAAUCAAAUCAUGGUUGCAGCAACAUCUUCUUUUGCUGUAGGGAAGUGCAUUACUCGGUUUCUUGACUUAGAACCACAAAGACACCACUAUCAAUCAUGUUCAUUAUCAAUUAUGUCUAUGAAUGGGUGCCAAGGUGACCCCAAAAUUCCACUAGGUAUCGUCGGAACUCGAACUCUACCUUCGGUUCCAUCACCGGCUCUAGCCUUGGACCGCCUUAAACAUACCAUUUCCGACUUAAGGUCUAACCAACCAUACUCUAAUUUCCCCUCCGGUCUCAUCCGAAUCCAGGUACCAAUAGAGCAAGAGAUAGAAGCCAUAGAUUGGCUUCAUUCACAAGACCACCACCACCAACUCCCUCGCCUUUUCUUCUCCGGUAGACGUCAAUUCAACGGUUCUGAUUUCAUCGACGCCAACGACAAUGGUGAAAUCUACGGCCAUGAUCUCAUCAGCGUCGCAGGUCUAGGUGCUGCCGUUUAUUUUCAGCAUUUUCGCCCUUUCUCAUUUGGUGACUGGAGUUCAAUUAAGAGGUUCUUGUCAAAGAGUUGUCCUUUGAUUCGUGCAUACGGGGCGAUCCGAUUUGAUGCAAAAGUUGAUAUAUCGAAGGAAUGGGAGCCUUUUGGCUCCUUCUACUUCAUGGUUCCUCAGGUUGAGUUCAAUGAAUUCGAAGGAAGGUCCUUGUUGGCUGCCAAUGUUGCAUGGGAUAAUGGCCUUUCAUGCCCUUGGGAAUCAGCAAUUGAUUCCCUUCAAGCAACCUUGGAUCAGGUCAAAUUUUUCAUCUUCAAGUCAGAGAAAAAAUUUCCUAAAACUACAAUUAGGGCCGAUAUAUUGCACAUCCCUGAUGAGGAAAAUUGGGAGAUUGCUGUUACAAAAGCAUUGAAGAUGAUCAGAAGCAGCUCAGCACUCACAAAGGCUGUACUUGCACGUAGUAGCAGAAUCUUUACUACAUCCGAUAUUGACCCGCUAGCAUGGUUAGCUUGUUUACAGGCUGAGGGGGAUAAUGCUUACCAGUUCUUGCUUCAGCCACCCAAUGCACCAGCUUUCAUUGGAAACACUCCAGAGCAGCUAUUUCACCGAAAGAAGCUUAACAUUUGGAGUGAAGCUUUGGCUGGAACCCGAGCCAUAUGUGGAUCAGAGAUUUUGGAUCAUAAGACAGCAUUGGAUCUUCUCUCCAGCCCAAAAGACAACUUAGAGUUUACAAUUGUAAGGCAGUGUAUAAAGAAGAAACUUGAGUCUGUGUGUAACUCAGUAUUAGUGGAUCCCCAGAAGGCAAUACGAAAGCUUCCCAGCGUACAACAUCUGUAUGCUAAUUUAAAAGGAAGAUUAAGAAGUGAAGAUGAUGAGCAUUUUGGAAGAAUACUACCCUGGUUGUAGUAGAGGUGCAGUUAUAUUUGUAAGGCUGGAAGAAAGUUAAUUUCAUUGGUAGUAUCAUUUUGGAAGAAUGAUUACAAGUUCCUAUAACUGCAUUUUGGAAGAAAGUUUCAGUCUGUACAAAGUUUGAGAUUUUAUCUUCUCUUCACCCAAGUCCAGCUGUGUGUGGAUUUCCAGCUGAAGAUGCACGUUGCCUUAUUGCAGAAACUGAAAUGUUUGACCGAGGAAUGUAUGCUGGCCCUAUUGGUUGGUUUGGAGGUGAAGAAGCUGAAUUUGCAGUUGGGAUAAGGUCUGCUUUAGUAAAGAAGGGUCUUGGUGCUUUCUUUUAUGCUGGAACUGGAAUUGUUGAGGGAAGUGA